rnacentral:rRNA from 1 species
UACGUAGGGUGCAAGCGUUGUCCGGAAUUAUUGGGCGUAAAGAGCUCGUAGGCGGUUUGUCGCGUCGAAUGUGAAAACCCGGGGCUCAACCCCGGGCCUGCAUUCGAUACGGGCAGACUAGAGUUCGGUAGGGGAGUCUGGAAUUCCUGGUGUAGCGGUGAAAUGCGCAGAUAUCAGGAGGAACACCGGUGGCGGAAGGCGG